CAGAAUGAAGAAGAAGAAGAAAUCACUAGUUUUGUACUAAGUCCAGAUGAUCAGACAUUGAUAGUUGCUGGCAGAAAUUUGCAGCUAAGACAGUGGGAGUGGAAGGAAAACAAGAUAGAAAGAACAUGGAAGGCAGUGCACAGUGCCCCUGUGACAUGUAUGGCCUUUGACAGCACCUCCACGCUGGUUGCCACGGGAAGUGCUGACUCCACCAUCAAGAUCUGGGACAUUAUCAAACAGUACUGCACUCAUAACUUGAGAGGACACACAGGAGUUGUGACAGGUGUUGCCUUCCAUCCAGACAUUGAGAGAAUGCAGUUGAUAAGUGCAGCUGAGGAUUAUAAAAUCCGUGUCUGGGACCUCAUGAGAAGUA